CAAUAGCGUAUAUUUAAGUUGCUGCAGUUAAAAAGCUCGUAGUCGGAUUUCGGGUGGGAAUGGCCGGUCCGCCGUUUCGGUGUGCACUUGCUACGCCCACCUUGCUGCCGGGGACGUGCUCUUGAGUUCACGCUCGGGACACGGAGUCGGCGAGGUUACUUUGAGUAAAUUAGAGUGUUCAAAGCAGGCCUACGCUCUGAAUACAUUAGCAUGGAAUAACACGACAGGACUCUGGCCUAUCUUGUUGGUCUGUAGGACCGGAGUAAUGAUUAAGAGGGACAGUCGGGGGCAUUCGUAUUUCAUUGUCAGAGGUGAAAUUCUUGGAUUUAUGAAAGACGAACUACUGCGAAAGCAUUUGCCAAGGAUGUUUUCAUUGA
rnacentral:rRNA from 1 species